rnacentral:lncRNA from 1 species
GAGGCGGGUCGGGGGAGGGCAGGGGAACGGAAGGGGUACCCGGGGAGCAUCCUAAGGGAACCUCUUCGCUUAAAAGGGCGGCCGCUGAAGUGGCUCUGAGAACAAAGGAGUUAACACUCGGACUCCACAGCCUGCGUCCCCGCCCGGUCAGCAUCGCAGGUGUUACCCAAACUCUGACGGUCCCUUUAAGAACUCACCCGGAGUCGCGCCCUCCGAAGCUGAGCCGCCCUCGGCCAGCGCUGCAGGCCCCAGCUUAUAAAUCUAUGAAGGUGUCCAGGUCCUGCCAGACUCCGCUGCAUCUUUUGCUUUCACUCCAGCAGGGUAGCAGCAUGCUGCCUGUGCCAAGGCAAUCACUAAAAGGAAAGGAUUUAAUGCUGUCAAAAAAGCUUAUGCCAGCUUAGGCUGCAGGAAGAGGAACAGUGUCAAGUAUGUUGAAAGUGGACAUAUUGGUCAGACCUCCAUGAGAGCCUAGGGGGCAUUGCUUAGCAGCACGCUUUUA